GACGAACGCUGGCGGCGUGCUUAACACAUGCAAGUCGAGCGGUAAGGCCACUUCGGUGGUACACGAGCGGCGAACGGGUGAGUAACACGUGAGUAAUCUGCCCUUCACUUUGGGAUAAGCACCGGAAACGGUGUCUAAUACCGGAUAUGAGCAUUCCACGCAUGUGGGGUGUUGGAAAGUUUUUUCGGUGGGGGAUGUGCUCGCGGCCUAUCAGCUUGUUGGUGGGGUAAUGGCCUACCAAGGCUUCGACGGGUAGCCGGCCUGAGAGGGUGACCGGUCACACUGGGACUGAGACACGGCCCAGACUCCUACGGGAGGCAGCAGUGGGGAAUAUUGGACAAUGGGCGGAAGCCUGAUCCAGCAACGCCGCGUGAGGGAUGACGGCCUUCGGGUUGUAAACCUCUUUCAGUACUGACGAAGCUCCUUCGGGGGUGACGGUAGGUACAGAAGAAGCACCGGCCAACUACGUGCCAGCAGCCGCAGUAAAAC
rnacentral:rRNA from 1 species